CUGUCGCAUAUACAAUAUCACCUUUCUGUAAAUUAGAAGUGCGUGGUUUUUGGACCGAGAAUAAAAAAAAAACGAUUUGUGGCUAAACGAUAACACUCACGCACUCAAAACCAUAUAGUCGCUGAAUAUAUAAACGCCCCGCCAUGUCGAAAACACCGAAACUUUUGAAGCAACCGAUAAGAACUAGAGGCAUUCAACAACGAACAUGUUAAGUAUGGAGAUUGCUGUUUAGAAACAAAAUGGAGCAAAGUGCAGGAAUUAGUGUGAGAAAUUUAGUCAUGCGCGGAAAAUUAUUUCCUUCGCUAGCAAAAUGUCAUUGCCGCGUGAGGCAUCCCGAUUUUUAUCAUCCUAGGCCCAUAUUAUUAUAUAAUUACAAGUCACGCAACCGAAAGGCAUGGCCCUCUUCCUGUGCCCCAUGGAGGUGGGGCAGUUUUUACGACGAAAAAAUUUUAUAUUAAGUAUGAAUUCAAUUGUUUUUUUUUGACACCAUAAAAUAUGAAGGAUUUGCAUGUGGAUAAUAAUUAACAAUGUAACGCGGUGUUACUUUGAAUUUUAUUUAUAGAUUAACGUAACUUUUAAUAUUUACUUUACAAUAACAUGUACAAAACUAAAAACAAAUAUUUAUAAAAAUAACAAAAAAAAAAUUUAAUCACAGAUCUCAUGAUGUAAUGUUCAUUGCUUUUUAAUUACUAACAUCUCUAAACAAAUAUAUUCAGCAUAUUCUAAAUAUUAUAGGCCUAUAUCUCUAAACAAUCCUGGAUAUCCUGGAAAUAUAUAAUAUAUAACAUCCAAGUGUUAUUAUAUUGGACUGGAUAUAGGUAUAAAGAGGUCGUAUAACUGUUCCAUUGUGUUGAAGAGCAAGACACCUUUUGGAAGUAAUUGCUUGCUGACAUUACAGUGCUGGUACAUUUUUUACAAUUUGUGUAUAUCAAAAAGUGCCAUAUCCAAAAAAAAACAAUUCGACUGACUGAUUUGGAUAUGCAUAUAAUUUAAGGGAAAAAGACAUUAAAAAUGAAUUUAUUUUCAAAUCAAAAUGUACGAAUAUGUUUUCCACAGAAGAUUAUAUAUAAAUCUUUAUACUUAUUUUUAAAGCAUCAAAAUUUGCUUCCAGCGAAUUGCAAAGCGCGCGCGAUCGGGGCUUUUUUUCUAUUACCAAUUUUAAUGAGACACAAUAAGUAGCUUUCAACAUUUUCCAGUCAAAAUUUAAAAAAAUGAAUUUAUUAUUUUAACAAAAAUUAAUUUGCCAAAUAUGUAUGUAUAUUAUAG